AACGAACGUUGGCGGCGUGGAUUAGGCAUGCAAGUCGAACGAGAAAGUCCCUUCGGGGGGCAAGUAGAGUGGCGAACGGGUGAGUAACGCGUGGGGAAUCUGCCUGGAAGUGGGGAAUAACCUUCCUAACGGGGGGCUAAUACCGCAUGUGGAGAUCAGGUCGCCUGGCCAGAUCUUCAAAGGUGGCCUCUGUUUCAAGCUGCCGCUACCAGAUGACCCCGCGUCCUAUUAGCUUGUUGGUGGGGUAAUGGCUCACCAAGGCGACGAUGGGUAGCCGGCCUGAGAGGGUGUCCGGCCACACUGGGACUGAGAUACGGCCCAGACUCCUACGGGAGGCAGCAGUCGAGAGGCUUCGGCAAUGGGGGAAACCCUGACCGAGCGACGCCGCGUGGAGGAUGAAGGCCUUCGGGUCGUAAACUCCUGUCAGCAGGGGAGAAAGGCGUGUCGGCCAAUACCCGGCGCGUUUGACGGUACCUGCAGAGGAAGCUCCGGCUAACUCCGUG
rnacentral:rRNA from 1 species